UACGUAGGGUGCAAGCGUUGUCCGGAAUUAUUGGGCGUAAAGAGCUCGUAGGCGGUUUGUUGCGUCGGCUGUGAAAUCCCGAGGCUCAACCUCGGGUCUGCAGUCGAUACGAGCAAACUAGAGUGUUGCAGGGGAGACUGGAAUUCCUGGUGUAGCGGUGAAAUGCGCAGAUAUCAGGAGGAACACCGGUGGCGAAGGCGGCUCUCUGGACCGAUACUGGACGCUGAGGCGCGAAAGCGUGGGGAGCAAACAGG
rnacentral:rRNA from 1 species